GUUUUGUAGCAAAGAGUGCAGACAAGAGCAGAUAGAGAUGGAUGAGUCGAGGAAGAAGAAGAACUGGAAACUGUCCUCUUCUUCUAGUAGAUCUCUGAGGAAAUCGGAGGCAGAGGAGAAUUCCCCCAAUAAAACUGUACGGACAGGCACAGUUGUUGUUGCUUAAGGAAUACUAAUUAACUAGGCCACAAGCGGCUAAGCCAAUUUUGAAUUUUCAUAAUCCAAUGUAAAAGAAUUGCGGAUGUUCAUUCUUCUUCAUCUGUAAAGAAGUAAUGAGUGAUGGGCGGGGGCUAAUUAAGCUUUGAGAGAUGGAAAGGAAGCAAGGCCCAUC
rnacentral:misc_RNA from 1 species